GUGGUAAUGCCGGAUGUUCCAGUUGAUCGCAUGGUCUUCUGGGAAAGCUUUCGCGGUAUGGGAUGGGGUCGCGUCCUAUCAGCUUGACGGCGGGGUAACGGCCCACCGUGGCUUCGACGGGUAGCCGGCCUGAGAGGGCGACCGGCCACAUUGGGACUGAGAUACGGCCCAGACUCCUACGGGAGGCAGCAGUGGGGAAUAUUGCACAAUGGGCGCAAGCCUGAUGCAGCGACGCCGCGUGAGGGAUGGAGGCCUUCGGGUUGUAAACCUCUUUUAUCGGGGAGCAAGCGUGAGUGAGUUUACCCGUUGAAUAAGCACCGGCUAACUACGUGCCAGCAGCCGCGGUAAUACGUAGGGUGCAAGCGUUAUCCGGAAUUAUUGGGCGUAAAGGGCUCGUAGGCGGUUCGUCGCGUCCGGUGUGAAAGUCCAUCGCUUAACGGUGGAUCCGCGCCGGGUACGGGCGGGCUUGAGUGCGGUAGGGGAGACUGGAAUUCCCGGUGUAACGGUGGAAUGUGUAGAUA
rnacentral:rRNA from 1 species